UACGUAGGUGGCAAGCGUUAUCCGGAAUUACUGGGUGUAAAGGGCGCGCAGGCGGCCUUGCAAGUCGGAUGUGAAAGAUCAAGGCUCAACCUUGACAGGUCAUCCGAAACUGUAAGACUUGAGUGUCAGAGGGGAAAGUGGAAUUCCUAGUGGAGCGGUAAAAUGCGCAGAUAUUAGGAGGAACACCGGUGGCGAAGGCGACUUUCUGGCUGACAACUGACGCUGAGGCGCGAAAGCGUGGGGAGGCAAACAGGAUUAGAUACCCGU
rnacentral:rRNA from 1 species